UGGUAUUGUUGCUACCUGAUG
rnacentral:misc_RNA from 1 species